CUUUUCUAGGGCUGCUCCCACAGCAUAUGGAGGUUCCCAGGCUAGGGGUCUAAUCAGAGCUGUAGCCACCGGCCUACACCAGAGCCACAGCAACUUGGGAUCCGAGCAGUGUCUGUGACCUACACCACAGCUCAUGGCAACACUGGAUCCUUAACCCACUGAGCAAGGCCAGGGAUCAAACCCUCAACCUCAUGGUUCCUAGCCGAAUUCGUUAACCACUGUGCCACAAUGGGAACUCCUAGAUGUAACUUCUUAUCCCACUAACAUCUUCCUUCUUCUUUUUUUUUUUUUUUUUUUGGUCUUUUUGCCAUUUCUUGGGCCGCACCCGCGGCAUGUGGAAGUUCCCAGGCUAGGGGUCUAAUCAGAGCUGUAGCUGCCGGCCUACACCACAGCCCACAGCAAUUUGGGAUCUGAGCCAUGUCUGCGGCCUACACUACAGCUCACGGCAACGCUGGAUCCUUAAUCCACUGAGCAAGGCUGGGGCUCGAACCCGCAACCUCAUGGUUCCUAGUCGGAUUCGUUAACCACUGAGCCACAACGGGAACUCCGACCUUGACAGUCUUAAGGAGGGUUGGCCAGCUAUCCUGUAGAAUGUCUCCUGGACUGGGUUUGUCAGCUAUUUUUCUUAUAUUGGACUGGGGCUAUGGGACUUGGGAACCUGCCCUUCUCAUCACAUCAUGUCACAUCAGAGAGUGCAGGCAUGACACCCACGUGACAUCACCAAUCAUGUCAGCCCUCAUCCCUUGGGGAAGGCGGUCUCUGUGAGGUUUCACCACUGUAAAUUCAGUUUCCGCUUCCCCAUUCUAUAACUUAUAAGCCACCCAACCCUGUUUUAUUUGCAAUAAAAACAUAAAGAAAUGAGAUGCUGCUUGCAGCUGAGUGUCAUGGAACAAUUCUUGCCUGGUAUAUUUAUAUUUGAACAAGGGUUUUCUUGAAGCCCUCUGCCUCAACCAAAAGUAGCAACUCUAAUGGGAGGAAUUUCAGGCUCUGUGACAGUUGGGUGUGGGCGUGUGGGCUUGGGCGAUAAAUGUAAGCAGCAUUCUCAAGCCUACCUCUCAGUGCCCUGCUCCCCUGCCUAUAUAUAGGGCCAGAGCAUGGAGUAUCCUGUUCAUAACAUCUUAGUGCAGAUUUGAAAACUUAACCCGCCUACAUACACAGGAGGGACUGUCCUACCACCUAUUUUCUAAUACAGGGCAGUGAGUGCAGAUUUAGAAGGGGUGAGGAUGGUUUCCCCAGGACAAAUCAAGCCUCUUUGGUUGAGCACAUAAUGGGAGAGAAGUAUGGCUCCCUGUCUGGUUCAAGUCCAAAGUGUUCCCAAUGAGAGAGCCACUUCAUUUCAAGAGCAAGACCUCCCCCGUAUCUUUGAAAUUGGAAGCCACCUAAAAAGAGAUACGAAAACAGCCUCACCUGUGUUCCUGCUCAUCAAGUAGGAAGUUGCUGCUUUCGACGUCUUGUCAUGGCCACUUUCUGCGCCAGAGAUCACUUUCAGCACCUCUUGUUGUCCCAGCUGUCCCGAUGACCCUGCGAGCUAUGGAUUUUCGGGUUUAACGCUUUAGACAGAAAGUACUUCUGUGGUUGGAAUCGGCAGAAAGAGUCCAUGAAUCAUGCAGACUCUCUGCAAUGACAAAGUAGUUAUUGGAACUUUGCAGAAGUUGUUUAUUGGGCCUCUGACGUGUAGAGAAGCAAGGAAUUUAGCGACAGAUUUAGAGCAAUAAAGCAUGGUAAUGUUUAUUCACACUUUGUGCUGCCAACAUUAAAAUUCAGUUCCAUAAGGCUUUGACUUGGGUCCUUAGCAGAAAUCAUCUCAUAAUAUCCUUCUGACGUGGGCUGUGUGACAACCGUUCUGCAGGAGGUUGGAAUGAGGCAGAGAUUUAAGGGAAGUCUUUAGAUGAGACCAUGGAUGGAGAUCAGGAGGGGACCGGGGUGGGGGGCGGGAAGGUGUUCUGAGGUCAGGAAGGCCCAGCUGAGCACCCUGAGGACUCCUCAAGAUCAAGGCUGGAGCUCAGUUCUCAUGGUCACCUUGACUGGGUUCUACUUCCACCUUUUAUUUAACACCUUUUGCUGGAAGUCGGACUGCUGGGCAGAGGAUUAGGACAAGAUUCUGCCUCGGCUCAUAAGAGGCUUACAGUUUAGAGGGGUGGAGGCAGGGGGAGGGUGACAUGGGACAGACAGGUGAAAAACUGGGCAAUUAAACCAGCGGCUGGUGUUACCCAAGUGGUGACGAGGGUUUGGGGAUGGGGGAUUCCAGGCAAAGACAAGGCAAGUUAGAAGACCCAGAGGCAGGCUGGGAGAGCUGUAGGUAACCAACCCAACCAACCUCCAUGGAAAUAAUGAUGAGAUUUUGUGUCUCAAAAAAAAAAAAAAAAAAAAAAAAAAAA
rnacentral:lncRNA from 1 species